GAUGAACGCUGGCGGCGUGCCUAAUACAUGCAAGUCGAGCGAACGGACGAGAAGCUUGCUUCUCUGAUGUUAGCGGCGGACGGGUGAGUAACACGUGGAUAACCUACCUAUAAGACUGGGAUAACUUCGGGAAACCGGAGCUAAUACCGGAUAAUAUUUUGAACCGCAUGGUUCAAAAGUGAAAGACGGUCUUGCUGUCACUUAUAGAUGGAUCCGCGCUGCAUUAGCUAGUUGGUAAGGUAACGGCUUACCAAGGCAACGAUGCAUAGCCGACCUGAGAGGGUGAUCGGCCACACUGGAACUGAGGCACGGUCCAGACUCCUACGGGAGGCAGCAGUAGGGAAUCUUCCGCAAUGGGCGAAAGCCUGACGGAGCAACGCCGCGUGAGUGAUGAAGGUCUUCGGAUCGUAAAACUCUGUUAUUAGGGAAGAGCAUAUGCGUAAGUAACUGUGCACAUCUUGACGGUACCUAAUCAGAAAGCCACGGCUAACUACGUG
rnacentral:rRNA from 1 species